AUCGCUUCUCGGCCUUUUGGCUAAGAUCAAGUGUAUUCUUUGCUGAGUUUGGUUUUGUUUUGUUUUACAGUACACAUGUUUUGAAGCCUUGGCCUGCAAACUUGAUUUUUAGACAGCAAAGGACUACGGGCUAAUCCCAUAAAAAACAAAC
ensembl:snRNA U2 U2 spliceosomal RNA